rnacentral:rRNA from 1 species
UACGUAGGGGGCAAGCGUUGUCCGGAUUUAUUGGGCGUAAAGCGCACGCAGGCGGUCUUUUCGCGUUUUUGAGUGACAGGGGGGUAGCUUAAACUACUUCAGGCCUUGAAAUACGGAAAGACUUGAGGGCGAAGAGAGGGAUGCGGAAUUCCAGGUGGAGCGGUGAAAUGCGUGAGAGAUCUGGAAGAACACCAAAGGCGAAGGCAGCAUCCUGGCUCGUCUCUGACGCUCUGGUGCGAAAGCUAGGGAGCGAACGGG